AUUGAACGCUGGCGGCAGGCUUAACACAUGCAAGUAGAACGAGUGGAGGACGGGUGAAUAAUGCUUGGGCAUCUAGCUUAUGGAGAGGGAUAACUACGUGAAACUGUAGCUAAUACCGCGUACCAUAGGAUGAGCCCAAGUGGGCUUAGGUAGUUGGUGAGGAAAAGGCUCACCAAGCUGACGAUCCCUAGCUGGUCUGAGAGGGUGACCAGCCACACUGGAACUGAGACACGGUCCAGACUCCGACGGGAGGCAGCAGUGGGGAAUAUUGGACAAUGGGCGCAAGCCUGAUGGAGCAAUGCCGCGUGUAUGAAGAAGGCCUUAGGGUUGUAAAGUCCGUUCAGCGGGGAGGCGUUACCCGCAGAGGAAGCACCGGCUAACUCCGUGCCAGCAGCCGCGGUAAUUC
rnacentral:rRNA from 1 species